UACGUAGGGUCCGAGCGUUGUUCGGAAUUACUGGGCGUAAAGGGCUCGUAGGCGGCCAACUAAGUCGGAUGUGAAAUCCCCCAGGCUUAACCUGGGAACUGCAUCCGAUACUGGAUGGCUUGAAUCCGGGAGAGGGAUGCGGAAUUCCAGGUGUAGCGGUGAAGUGCGUAGAUAUCUGGAGGAACACCGGUGGCGAAGGCGGCAUCCUGGACCGGCAUUGACGCUGAGGAGCGAAAGCCAGGGGAGCAAAACAGG
rnacentral:rRNA from 1 species